rnacentral:lncRNA from 1 species
GCUAUUUUACAUUUAGUUGACGAAAUUGAAAAUAAAGUGAUCAACCGAGAAGACAGAAGAAUCAAAAAUAGAAAAUAACAGGAGUGAAAAAUAUGUCAGACAGUAUGACAUUCCAUUCAGCAGCGAAGUUCUUUGAAUUAUUUCAAGUUAUAUGCGUUGUAAUCACACUUGGCGGAGGGAUAUUAAUACUAUUGGACAAAGCAAUCAAAUCAUUAUUUUCCAAAUAUGACAACCAAACG